UACGUAGGGCGCAAGCGUUGUCCGGAAUUAUUGGGCGUAAAGAGCUCGUAGGCGGUCUGUCGCGUCUGCUGUGAAAACCCGGGGCUCAACCCCGGGCCUGCAGUGGGUACGGGCAGACUAGAGUGCGGUAGGGGAGACUGGAAUUCCUGGUGUAGCGGUAAAAUGCACAGAUAUCAGGAGGAACACCGAUGGCGAAGGCAGGUCUCUGGGCCGCAACUGACGCUGAGGAGCGAAAGCGUGGGUAGCGAACAGG
rnacentral:rRNA from 1 species